rnacentral:rRNA from 1 species
CAGCAGCCGCGGGAAAACGAAGGGGGCUAGCGUUGCUCGGAAUCACUGGGCGUAAAGGGUGCGUAGGCGGGUCUUUAAGUCAGGGGUGAAAUCCUGGAGCUCAACUCCAGAACUGCCUUUGAUACUGAAGAUCUUGAGUUCGGGAGAGGUGAGUGGAACUGCGAGUGUAGAGGUGAAACUCGUAGAUAUUCGCAAAAACACCAGUGGCGAAGGCGGCUCACUGGCCCGAUACUGACGCUGAGGCACGAAAGCGUGGGGAGCAAACAGGAUUAGAUACCCCGGUAGUCCCUGUCUCUUAUAC